UGCUUGAACUAAAAAGAGAAGAUUUCAUAAAAAUAAAAAACAUGAUCGAAGAUGAGAAAAAAAAAAAGAAAAAAAAAUGUCACAUAUUGGAAAUAAUAGAUAAUAACAAUUUAAGUAAUAUGAUGAUAAAUUUUAAAGAUAGUUUGGAAAAUGUAUUGUCUGUUUAUUUACAUUCUUGUAAUAAGUUUUUAAAAGAGUAUUCAAAGAAUGACAACAGUAAGGAACAUGCGCAUUUUGUUUUUGUUAUUGGGAAUAUCACAGCCGAUUUAGAUUCUGUUUGUUCGGCUAUAAUGUACAGUUUUUUUUUAUACAUAUGGGAUUGCUUAAAAUGUAAAAUUACAAAGGGAAUGAUAUCUCAAAAGUUAAAGUUUUUUAUACCUGUUAUUAAUAUUAAAAAAAAGUGAUAUGAAGAUUAAACAUUUGGUUAAAAUUAUAUUAUUUUGUGAUAUAAAUAUGUUUACAGUUUUUUUUUAUAUCUUUUUUUUUUAAAAAAAAAGUGUAUACUAAAUAUAAAAAACAGGAAUAUAUAUAAUUUUUUGUUAUUACGAAUUAUUUUAAACAUAUAUUUUUGUGUCGUUUUCCACAUUUUUCGUAAUUAAAAAAAAUAGUAUUUUAUUUUGUGCUACUUUUAUGUUUUUCUUUUUGUAAUAGACAAGCUGGUGGCUACAAAUGUGUAAUCUUAAAAAACCGGAAGAAAUUUUAAUAUUUAAUGACAAUGAUAAUUUAUUGAAUGUUUUAAAGAAUAACAAAAGGUAUCAAAUAUGUUUGGUUGACUUAAAUGAAAUUGUACCUAAUAAUUUGUACAAUAUAAAUAAUAUAAAAUCGAUAAUUGACCAUCAUAUAAUUAAAAAAGAAGAUAUAUCUAAAAAUAUAACCAAAUCAAUUUAUCCUAUAUGUGUGUGUAGUUGUAUGGUUAUUAUAGCUUAUUUAUAUAAAUUUUCGAGCAAGUAUCUCAAUAUACCCUUUAUUAAUAGAUCUAUGAUGUGGCUAGUAUAUGGAACCAUUUUAAAAGAUUCAAACAACUUUAUAGAAAAGGAUUUUCAGAAACGAUGGAUACUAGCGGAUUUAAAAAUAUUUGUAUCUUUGAAAGAAUACUUUAGAAUACCAAAACAAAUGGACAUAUAUAUCACAUACAUGUUCAACGUUAUUAGAUUUACCAUUGAUUUAAAAAAAUAUAAUAUAGAAAAUUUAUUAUUCGUCGAUUACAAAGACUAUCAUUAUGGAAUUUUAAAAAAAAAAAUAAAAAUAAGAGCGGCAUCAAUAGAUUUUAGUAUAGAUCUUUUAAUUACCCACAACGACAAUAAAAACCUCACUGACAAAAUGUGUGAGUUGUGCGACGAAAAAAACAUAUCUCUUUUUAUAUUAUUGGGAUCUUAUUUAAAAAACUUUAAACUAUUUAAAGACAUGGGUAUUUUGUUUUAUAAUGAUGAUAUAAAAGCAGAAGAAUUAAUGAAUGCCUUGUUGAAGGAAGUUGAUGCAAAACUUACGAAAAAAAAAAGCACAAAUGUAAUUUGGGAAACAAAUUCUAAAAACUUUGAAAUAUAUCAAAUAAACAACGCAAGUUAUUCAAGAAAAAAGUUAGAGUGUUUUUUAAAUGAAUAUAUGAAUAAAUAUUACAAAAAUUAA
ensembl:lncRNA